rnacentral:piRNA from 1 species
UCUACAGAUUGGUGGGUGAUAGUCACUGG